ACAUAACACACAUGUAUAUAUAUGAGCUAAUUUUACUGUUAUAUGUCUAUGUCGCGGUGGAGCGUAUUUAUUUAUUAGUGACUUGUUUACUCAGCUUACUCUCCAUUACUAAUUUAGUGUUUACACAACCACGUGACGUGAACUACAACCUUCUUAGACUAUCUGCAAACCCACUACGCACUAAACAGGUCCUUCUGAUGGAAACCUGUUUACCUGCCCGAGGUUAAGGAAUGAAGUCGAGACUGCCGUGCCAACAAUGCUGCUUUUGCCGUAUGUGACGGGACCUGGCGUGUUUGCACCAAGAAUGUCAAGAACUCACUACAGACUUUAUUACAGACUGGACUGAAUAAUAACUCUAUUAUUAUUUAUUUAUUUAUUUAUUUAUUAUUGCUAGGUAUAACUUUUAGUUCAUUUUAAUUAUGUUUGUAUGAUUUGUGUAAAUACUAUUUAUUUAAAGUAUCCUCCAGACCACCCAAAGAGGAUGGUCCCUGCUGAGUCUGGUUCCUCUCAAGGUUUCUUCCUGUAAUUUUAAGGGAGUUUUUCCUUGCCACUGUUGCCCUCGGCUUGCUCAACAGGGGUUUUUGUAUCUGUUGGUCCUGGAUUUUGUAAAGUUGCUUUGAGACAAUGUCUAUUGUAAAAAGCGCUAUAUAAAUAAAGUUGACUUGACUUGACUUGA